rnacentral:misc_RNA from 1 species
UACGGGACGCAGCGGGAAUUUUGGACAAUGGGGAAACCCUGAUCCAGCCAUCCCGCGUGUGCGAUGAAGGCCUUCCGGGUUGUAAAGCACUUUUGGCAGAAGAAGAAACGGCGCAGUGUACCCGUGCAACUGACAAUUACCUGCAGAAUAAGCACCGGCCUAACGUGCCAGCAGCCGCGGUAAUACGUAGGGUGCAAGCGUUAAUCGGAAUUACUGGGCGUAAAGCGUGCGCAGGCGGUUCGGAAGAAAGAUGUGAAAUCCCAGAGCUUAACUUUGGAACUGCAUUUUUAACUACCGAGCUAGAGUGUGUCAGAGGGAGGUGGAAUUCCGCGUGUAGCAGUGAAAUGCGUAGAUAUGCGGAGGAACACCGAUGGCGAGAGCAGCCUCCUGGGAUAACACUGACGCUCAUGCACGAAAGCGUGGGGAGCAAACAGGAUUAGAUACCCCCGUAGU